CAGGCACAAGAGGUACCCGGGACAGAGCUCCCUGGAGAGAUCCGGGGAGUCCCACCUGGAGGAAAUGGUGCAGCCAUCACUCACUUGCACAAGGAUGAAGGAGGAGAUAACGUCAGUCAAGGAGCUCGCUUUCUGAUCAACACUGCCCUUCCCCCAGCAGACUGUGCGGCCGGCCGCAGCACUGUCAAGGCAGAGGAGAGAGCAUUCGAGCAGGAUUGCAAGGGAGCAUUGGAGGGAACGUGUGGAUGUUUGCAGUGUUAAUGACCAAGGGGCCCAGCUUGCUUUGGAGGAAGCAGAGGAACAAGUGCAUCUCAACUCUAUUGACAAGAAAACUGAUCCCAGAGAGAUUCAAGCCUUGCUUCAGAUCCUGUCUCAGUCAGCAGGGACACAGAGGGCCUGGGAGUACUGAAUUUCUCUUCAAAUCAUUACCCUCCUUAUAAAUAUUUAUGAGCACUAAACUGUACACUUAAAAAUAGUAUAGAUGGUAAAUUAUAUGGGAAGAUUUUACCUCAAUUUUUUGGCCAUGCGUGGUGGUUCACACCUAUAAUCUCAGCACUUUGGAAGACUGAGGCAGGCGGAUCACUGGAGGUAAGGAGUUCAAGAGCAACCAGACCAACAUGGUGAAACCCCAUCCCUACUAAAAAUAUAAAAAUUAGCCGGGCGUAGUGACACGCGCCUGUAAUCCCAGUUACUCAGGAGGCUGAAGCAGGAGAAUUGCUUGAACCUGGAAGAUGGAAGUUGCAAUGAGCCAAGAUCACGCCAUUGCACUCCAGCCUGGUGAAGCUAUGUCUCAAAUAUAUAUAUAUAUAUAAGAAAACGAAAUUAUUGCCCUUCUUGCUUCAGCACCUUGGGGUCUCCCUGAAAAGUGCCUCUCUACCUGGUUUUCCAGAGUGGCGUGAGCAUGUGCAAGCUCCUCAAAGAUGCAAGAGUUUCUGAGCUGCUCAGGAGCCCGGC
rnacentral:lncRNA from 1 species